rnacentral:rRNA from 1 species
AUACGUAGGGUGCGAGCGUUGUCCGGAAUUACUGGGCGUAAAGCGCUCGUAGGUGGUUUGUCGCGUCGUCUGUGAAAUUCCGGGGCUUAACUCCGGGCGUGCAGGCGAUACGGGCAUCACUUGAGUACUGUAGGGGAGACUGGAAUUCCUGGUGUAGCGGUGAAAUGCGCAGAUAUCAGGAGGAACACCGGUGGCGAAGGCGGGUCUCUGGGCAGUAACUGACGCUGAGGAGCGAAAGCAUGGGUAGCGAACAGGAUUAGAUACCCUGGUAGUCCAUGCCGGAAACGGUGGGCGCUAGGUGUAGGGGUCUUCCACGACUUCUGUGCCGUAGCUAACGCAUUAAGCGCCCCGCCUGGGGAGUACGGCCGCAAGGCUAAAACUCAAAUGAAUUGACGGGG